GCCAACCCUCUUGCUGCUCAGUGUGGAUGAGGGCCGAUUUCAUGUUGUGCUUAAAUUGUUUUGAAAUGUAAACAAGUCUUGCUUCCCACAGCCCUGUGAGUCUCCUAAGGGGAUAGGUGUUACAGCUGGCUGGGAACUUAAGUGGGCUUGAGAGUGGCCAAGGCAGAGAGAACACUGGGUUCAAACAACACCCAGUGACCUCCUCUAAUGCUGAGCAAGCUCUGGCCUCCUGGGGGGCAGUAAUGAGGUGUCACAGACUUCCUCAGAACAGCAGUCACCUUACAAAGCAUCCUCUGAGCUCUGAAGGGAUACAAAUGUGGAGGCAAGUCCUAGAGGACCCUAAAAGCUGAGGCCAAGUUAUAGGAGACACCCCUGGACUGAAGAGGCUGCAGGAGAUUUAUCACCGGUGCCUCAGCAUGGUCAGAAACAGAAACCUGGCUUCAUUGAAUCAACCUGAACUUUCAACAGGACACUCCUUUUCCAGUCUUUUGACUUUUGGCAAAAUUUCCACGAAGGUCAGUCAGCCUCAGCUAUGCCAAGGCAAACAAAGGGAGCAGAACAGCAGGUGUGUGUUGGGGAUGGGGGAAGAUGGCAUCCAGAAAGGGGUGGGGAGGUUUGGGGAUGCAAAUCCAAGCUGAGAGGCAUGGCUGCCGAGGGGCUGUGUGGGUUCAGAAGGAGCAGCAGCUUGUCUGUGCCCGUCCAGGGCCACCCACCCCUCCUUUUCUGCCCCAGCCCAGAGGACUUGAAAUCUUAUUCCCCACAAUGCUAAUGCCACCCAUUAAAGGAAACCAACUACUUGGCAGUAGUUUGCUG
rnacentral:lncRNA from 1 species